rnacentral:rRNA from 1 species
AUUGAACGCUGGCGGCAGGCCUAACACAUGCAAGUCGGGCGGUAACAGGGGAGCUUGCUCCCGCUGACGAGCGGCGGACGGGUGAGUAAAGUCUAGGAAUCUGCCCAGUAGAGGGGGACAACGCGGGGAAACUCGCGCUAAUACCGCAUACGUCCUACGGGAGAAAGGUGCUUUCGGGUGCCGCUACUGGAUGAGCCUAGAUCGGAUUAGCUAGUUGGUGGGGUAAAGGCCUACCAAGGCGACGAUCCGUAGCUGGUCUGAGAGGAUGAUCAGCCACACUGGGACUGAGACACGGCCCAGACUCCUACGGGAGGCAGCAGUGGGGAACAUUGGACAAUGGGCGCAAGCCUGAUCCAGCCAUGCCGCGUGUGUGAAGAAGGUCUUCGGAUUGUAAAGCACUUUAAGCGAGGAGGAGAGGCCCUAGGUUAAUACCCCUAGGUGCGUUGGACGUUCUCGCAGAAUAAGCACCGGCUAACUCUGUGCCAGCCGCCGCCGUAAC